rnacentral:rRNA from 1 species
CAAAGGAAUUGACGGGACCCGCACAAGCGGUGGAUGAUGUGGUUUAAUUCGAUGCAACGCGAAAACUUACCCACCUUUGACAUGGCAGGAAUCCUGAAGAGAUUUGGGAGUGCUCGAAAGAGAACCUGCACACAGGUGCUGCAUGGCUGUCGUCAGCUCGUGUCGUGAGAUGUUGGGUUAAGUCCCGCAACGAGCGCAACCCUUGCCAUUAGUUGCUACGAAAGGGCACUCUAAUGGGACUGCCGGUGACAAACCGGAGGAAGGUGGGGAUGACGUCAAGUCCUCAUGGCCCUUAUAGGUGGGGCUACACACGUCAUACAAUGGCCGGUACAGAGGGUAGCCAACCCGCGAGGGGGAGGCCAAAUCCCACAAAGCCGGUCGUAGUCCGGAUCGCAGUCUGCAACUCGACUGCGUGAAGUCGGAAUCGCUAGUAAUCGCGGAUCAGCAUGUCGCGGUGAAUACGUUCCCGGGUCUU